GGGGAAUAUUGCACAAUGGGCGAAAGCCUGAUGCAGCAACGCCGCGUGAACGAAGAAGGCCUUUGGGUCGUAAAGUUCUGUCCAAGAGGAAGAUAAUGACGGUACUCUUGGAGGAAGCCCCGGCUAACUACGUGCCAGCAGCCGCGGUAACACGUAGGGGGCAAGCGUUAUCCGGAAUUAUUGGGCGUAAAGGGUGCGUAGGCGGCUUCUUAAGCGUGGGGUGAAAUGCAAUAGCUCAACUAUUGUAAGCCUUGCGAACUGGGGAGCUUGAGUGCAGGAGAGGAAAGCGGAAUUCCUAGUGUAGCGGUGAAAUGCGUAGAUAUUAGGGGGAACACCAGUGGCGAAGGCGGCUUUCUGGACUGUAACUGACGCUGAGGCACGAAAGCGUGGGUAGCGAAC
rnacentral:rRNA from 1 species